GAGUUUGAUUCUGGCUCAGGAUGAACGCUGGCGGCGUGCUUAACACAUGCAAGUCGAACGAACGACUAUUAACAGAACCUUUCGGGGCGAAGAUGAUAGAAGUUAGUGGCGGACGGGUGCGUAACGCGUGGGUAAUCUGUCUUUGUCAAAGGAAUAACUAUUCGAAAGAAUAGCUAAAACCGUAUAAAAUAUUAAUAGGGCAUCCUAAUAAUAUCAAAACGAUAGUGGACAAAGAUGAGCCCGCGUCUGAUUAGCUAGUUGGUGAGAUAAAAGCCCACCAAGGCAACGAUCAGUAGCCGACCUGAGAGGGUGAACGGCCACAUUGGAACUGAGACACGGUCCAAACUCCUACGGGAGGCAGCAGUGGGGAAUAUUGCACAAUGGGGGGAACCCUGAUGCAGCAACGCCGCGUGAGUGAAGAAGGCAUUCGUGUCGUAAAACUCUGUAGUAGGGGAAGAAAGAAAUGACA
rnacentral:rRNA from 1 species